UCUUUUUAAAAGAUUGGUCGGGUCGUAAGCCGUUCGAUCUGCACACGAGGUGAUUGCAACAUGAUCCUUGUUGUAGAAACAUCCUGUAACAUUAGGUUUGUUACAUUUGCAAAAUAUAUAUUUUUAGGGGUGUUUGUGAAAAAGAAUUACGGGAAGAGAGGCAGUCAACGGAAAAAAAAAGAAGAAUUAACAAAUCGCAGCUGAUGUUUGGUGCCCGUCCGAUCUGUGGCUGCGGGCGUGUCUCCGGAGCAGAGGAGGCGUGAGAGAAAGAUGUCGGAGAGGCGGCGAGCCAAUGUUUCUUCCGGUGGCCGGUGCCGCGGAGGUUGCCCGGAGACGGAGCCGGCACCGGCGGCAUCCUAUCCUAAAGCUCGAGUGGGGACACUCAUCGUGGCUUGAUCUUACUCCCUGCUCCAUGCUCGGCUCUGGAGGAGGAAGAUGGAGUCGCUGGAGCAGAGCAGUCUGCGUUUCAUAUUUCUUACCGGCAUCCGCUUGCUCUGCCAAUUCUUUAGUUCAGGCAUACAGGUAAAAGAAAAGGAAAACCAUCUGUAAAAUGUAGGACCAUAUAGCAUUUCCACAGUCAUAUAGCAUUGUCAAGAGCAUACAAAUAGACGAUCCUGUAACUGAAUGAAGGUCCAUGUUAAAACAGAAAGCCCACCAAAUUGACAUGCUCACGUACUGAA